UUAACGCUGGCGGCAGGCCUAACAUCUUACAAGUCGAACGGUAACAGCGAAGCAGCUUGCUGCUUCGCUGACGAGGACGGGUGAGUAAUGUCUGGGAAACUGCCUGAUGGAGGGGGAUAACUACUGGAAACGGUAGCUAAUACCGCAUAACGUCGCAAGACCAAAGAGGGGGACCUUCGGGCCUCUUGCCAUCGGAUGUGCCCAGAUGGGAUUAGCUAGUACGUGGGGUAACGGCUCACCUAUGCGACGAUCCCUACGCUGGUCUGAGAGGAUGACCAGCCACACUGGAACUGAGACACGGUCCAGACUCCUACGGGAGGCAGCAGUGGGGAAUAUUGCACAAUGGGCGCAAGCCUGAUGCAGCCAUGCCGCGUGUAUUGAAGAAGGGCUUCGGGUUGUACAGACUUCCGCGGUGAGGAACAGGAUAAGGGUAACUAACUGACGAUAGACAGUACCGCAGAAGAA
rnacentral:rRNA from 1 species